CUAAAAAAAUAACAUAACACUCCUUGUGCAUUCCCUAGGGAGAGGAUGAGAGUGAUCAUAAACGACAUGUGACAGAUGUUAUGACUAACAUCUGAGUCAGAGUGCUUAAAUCUCUACUGGGAAGCAAUUACAGCAAUGAGAGUGUCUCAAGAAUCUGCGCAGAAAAGAGAAUUAUGAGCAAAAAGUAACCUCUGGAUAUAUCUACAUCUCCUUUCUGAAUAAAUGUUGAUACUGUCCUAGACAGAAGGUAACAGAAAGGAUUUUUGCCUUCAGCAAGACUGUAUGCAACAAAUCCCACAGCACUUCACAUCUCAGGAAAUGCUGAUUGAAACAUUACCCAAAGAAGAAAAUGACCUGGUUUCUGUGGGUGCCUCCAAAUGGAGCCACAUCCUGUGGCUGUGAAUAUUUCAGGGAGUUGCUAUAACUUUGCCAAAGAUGGCCUUCAUCAGUUGUGAUAUAGUAACACCUGGCCUUGGACAGACUGAACUGAAGACAUUUGUUCCCAUUCCCAUAGUGGUAUCCUGCAUAUUCACUAGCAUGUAUACAAGGACGUGACUGUUUCUCCUUAUUAUGGACACAUUCUUUACACUACUUUUUUUCUGGCUGUCCAUAAAAGAGUACUGUUGAUUGCAUUUCUCAAGUCAUAUUCAAGUUCAAAUAUCAAAAUAAGGUGGUAAUCUAUCUGACACACCUCCAGAGCACUUGAGAGCCAGGGUGAAUGCUAAAUGCAGACCAUUUAAGCUGAGGCAUCCAAAGGAAGCAAUGUGAAUACUUGCUCUACUCAGCUAUCCAGUUUUUAAAUAAGAUUAAUUUUCUCAGUAUUUUGAGGAAUGCAGUUCUCAAGCAAAGCAAAGAACAUUUUGUUUUUCCUUAUUGCUCACCUCUUUGGUGUGUGUGCGGGCAUGUGC
rnacentral:lncRNA from 1 species